UGUGGAAAGACCUUCAAUUGUUCUUUGAACAAUUGGUUUUUAAUUAUUAUUUUUUUUUUUUUUUUUUCCGCCUAAUUUUUUUUCUUGCGUAGUAUUGAUGUUUCAAAAGAUGUCGCUUAGAUAUUUGGAAUAUGAUAUCGUAUAGUUUAUACGCUUUAAAAAUUUACAACUGCGUAACAAAAUACUUUACGUUGUAAGAGUUAUCUCCCCAAACACUGUUUUUUCUUGUGGCCACUACUCCUUCGCAACCGUUAAAGAUUACGACAAAUUUAUUUUACCAAAUUGCUCGUUACAUCUUCAGGAUUAGGAUAUUCAUUUGGACCGAAG
rnacentral:lncRNA from 1 species